GAUGUACGCUGGCGGCGUGCUUAACACAUGCAAGUCGAGCGAGAAGUUUUGAAAAGAUUCUUCGGAUGAAAUUUAAAAUGGAAAGCGGCGGACGGGUGAGUAACGCGUAGGCAACCUGCCCCAUACAAAGGGAUAGCAUUUGGAAACGAAUAUUAAUACCUUAUGAAACUUAACUAGUGCAUGCUAGGUAGGUCAAAGAUUUAUCGGUAUGGGAUGGGCCUGCGUCUGAUUAGCUAGUUGGUGAGGUAACGGCUCACCAAGGCGACGAUCAGUAGCCGACCUGAGAGGGUGAACGGCCACAUUGGAACUGAGACACGGUCCAAACUCCUACGGGAGGCAGCAGUGGGGAAUAUUGCACAAUGGGGGAAACCCUGAUGCAGCAACGCCGCGUGAACGAUGAAGGCCUUUGGGUCGUAAAGUUCUGUUCUAGGUGAUGAAAACUGACAGUGACUUAGGAGAAAGC
rnacentral:rRNA from 1 species